rnacentral:rRNA from 1 species
UGGGGGGAACCCUGAUCCAGCGACGCCGCGUGAGUGAAGAAGUAUUUCGGUAUGUAAAGCUCUAUCAGCAGGGAAGAAAGAAAUGACGGUACCUGACCAAGAAGCCCCGGCUAACUACGUGCCAGCAGCCGCGGUAAUACGUAGGGGGCAAGCGUUAUCCGGAUUUACUGGGUGUAAAGGGAGCGUAGACGGUAAUGCAAGUCUGAAGUGAAAUGCAGGGGCUCAACCCCUGAACUGCUUUGGAAACUGUAGGACUGGAGUGCAGGAGAGGUAAGUGGAAUUCCUAGUGUAGCGGUGAAAUGCGUAGAUAUUAGGAGGAACACCAGUGGCGAAGGCGGCUUACUGGACUGUAACUGACGUUGAGGCUCGAAAGCGUGGGGAGCAAACAGG